GAGCCGUGUCACAUCGAGCCACUGUCACUUGGAUGGCGUUUGAGGAAAUGUUGGAUUGUUUGCAGUGAUUAUUAAAUUAGCUGCAUGCAUUGGUCAUACUUUGAUGGCAUUGAAGAAUUGUGCAAACAAAGAGGGGAAAGUGGCUGCGAGCAUCUACGCAAAAUAAAAUGCCUUGUACUGAAAACAAGUCUUGUACGAAGAACCGAGCUUGCUGCAAAAAAAAUGAUGACGAGUGAAGAAACUGAAAAAAAACUUAGGAGACUUGGGAGACGGCUCAAUACUUGGCUGCUUUGAAUGCUGAUUGAUGCAGGUGUUGUACAAAAUGAAGAACUUUCACUGGACUUGGUUGCUGACGAUGCCUUUCCAUAAGACGAUGAAUUCUGGCCCACACUUGACUUUGUUUGAUGACUUGGAUGCUGAUGAUGCUUUUCCACAAAUGAUGAAGACUUUCUGGACUUGGAUGAUGCCUUUGGUGAUGACUACUCGGUGUACUUGCUUUAAUCGACCUGAUUAAAAUACUUGGACACUUUGGAUGGUCUCCCAGACUUUGAUGCCGAUGAUGUCUUCUACAAAAUGAUCCAGACUUGCCAAUUCAGGCUUCGCUAACUGAUUGCUGCGUUUUUUCCAACCGACCUGAUUAAAU